rnacentral:tRNA from 1 species
GGCCUUGUAGCUCAGCUGGUAGAGCAUGCAUUGUACACAAGGGUAGGCGUCGUCCAUGCGUGGGUUCAAAUCCCACCGAGGCUA